rnacentral:rRNA from 1 species
UUUGUAACUGACGCUGAGGGCUUGAAAAGCGUGGGGAGCGAAACAGGAAUUAGAUUCCCUGGUAGUUCACGCCGUAAACGAUGAGUGGUAAGUGUUGGAGGGUUUUUCGCCCUUCAGUGCUGCAGCAAACGCAUUAAGCCCUCCGCCUGGGGAGUACGACCGCAAGGUUGAAACUCAAAGGAAUUGACGGGGGCCCGCACAAGCGGUGGAGCAUGUGGUUUAAUUCGAAGCAACGCGAAGAACCUUACCAGGUCUUGACAUCCUUUGACCACUUUAGAGAUAGAGCUUCCCCUUCGGGGGCAAAGUGACAGGUGGUGCAUGGUUGUCGUCAGCUCGUGUCGUGAGAUGUUGGGUUAAGUCCCGCAACGAGCGCAACCCUUAUUGUUAGUUGCCAUCAUUUAGUUGGGCACUCUAGCGAGACUGCCGGUGACAAACCGGAGGAAGGUGGGGAUGACGUCAAAUCAUCAUGCCCCUUAUGACCUGGGCUACACACGUGCUACAAUGGGAAGUACAACGAGUUGCGAAGUCGCGAGGCUAAGCUAAUCUUUUAAAGCUUUUUUCAGUUCGGAUUGUAGGCUGCAACUCGCCUACAUGAAGCCGGAAUCGCUAGUAAUCGCGGAUCAGCACGCCGCGGUGAAUACGUUCCCGGGCCUUGUACACCCCGCCC